rnacentral:lncRNA from 1 species
UUUUUAUCAUUAAAAAAUUUCUUGAAAAAAAACAUGAAUUUUCACCGAUGCCGACCAUAAAAAAUUCGCCACAUUAAGUGAAACCUCUUGCUUGGACACAGUAAGUAUGAACAAGGAAUUCCCCCCUUUAGAGUAACACUAAUUUAAAUUACAUAGCAGUCUAGAGCUCCAUCUGCAAUUUGCACAUCUCCGUAGCUCCUGGUAGGAGUUAUCUUCAAAGGUCAGGUGAAUCCAUUAUGUGAAGGAUGUGUGUUGGCAUCUGAAUAAAUGGGAAGCAUUUAAAUGCUUAAUGAUCCCACAAAUUAGUCAGCACAUUGUCAACAGCCG